GACGAACGCUGGCGGCGUGCUUAACACAUGCAAGUCGAACGGAGUGGCGAACGGGUGAGUAACACGUGGGUGACCUGCCCUGCACUUCGGGAUAAGCCUGGGAAACUGGGUCUAAUACCGGAUAGUGUGGGAUGGGCCCGCGGCCUAUCAGCUUGUUGGUGGGGUAAUGGCCUACCAAGGCGGCGACGGGUAGCCGGCCUGGGAGGGUGGACGGCCACAAGGGGACUGAGAGACGGCCCAGACUCCUACGGGGGGCAACGGGGGGGAAUCUUGCACAACUGGGCGGAGUGUGAUACAGCGGCCCCGGGUGGGGGAUGACGGCCUUCGGGUUGUAAACUCCUUUCACCAUCGACGCGGUAGAUGGAGAAGAAGCACCGGCUAACUACGUGCCAGCAGCCGCGGUAAUUC
rnacentral:rRNA from 1 species